CAGAGACGUAAGAGGUCAACAGAACUAGCUGAAGGCCGUGUCCUAGAAGCCAUGGAAUGACCAUCACAGAAAGGAACUGACUAUUCAUGCCAACUUUGGAGGUCAAGGGCCACGCUCAAGAGGCAGUGUUAAUGAACGGAAGGAAGGUCUCAAGACAACUAGUUUUGUGGUUUUCAGAAAACUUAUCAACAACUCAUUUAUUGCACCUUCGAGAAAUCAGAGAGUAGUACAGAAAAAAAAAACAAGGAAAAAG